CCCCAAACCAGGGUUCUAUUCCUCCAUUGAAGCAGCAGCCGACUUCCUCCAUUAAACUAGGGUUCAUAGGUUUUCUGAUGCAGUAGUGGUUGUCCCAAAACAAUGAAAGCAGUUGCGAAGAAGUAGUGGUUCCAGGCCCAGGAUUUACAUUCCAUUACUCCAGACUGCUUCUUGGAAAUCAGUGGUGCAGUCAUUCAUCCCCUUUCUUAUCAACAGCACCUUCCAAUUCAACUUGUGCGAGAGACACGACUUGGAGGGCUUGUUCAGUGUAGAUGGAUGUAUCUCUUUGAGAGGACUAUUGGCAAAUGUAAGCGGACCAUAAGAAACAGAUCUCGAAUUCAGGGAUCAAUAUGUGAGGCUUAUUUGGCUAAAGAGACCUCUUAUUUUUGUUCAUAUUAUUUUGAACAUGAUGUUCCAUGUCUGAGAAAUUGACCUAAUAGGCAUGAUGAUGGAGAAUAUACAGAUUUUUCAGCACCACCAUUUUCAAUAUUCAAUCAACCAGGGACAAUUAGGUAUUGGAAAUGCAAGUGUGGUUGAUUACUGGAAGGACAAUCUUCUGCCUCAUAUUCUGGAUGCAAUGCAUAUUGAGAAAAAUUUCUUUGACAACUUGUUUAAUACCAUGAUGGAUGUAACAAACAAAACCAAAGAUAACUUGAAGGCUAGGAUGGACUUAAAGGAGUAUUGUCGGUGCAGUGAGUUGUACCUGACAUACUUAAAUAAUAAGAUUCAGAAGACCAAGGCCAGUUACACAUUCACUUUGGACGAUAGAAGAUUGAUUUGUGAUUGAUUUAAGAAUUUGGGAAUGACAGAUGGUGUAUUGACUUGAAAGAAGGGAAGUUGACCUCUAUGUAGAGCCAUGACUGUCACAUUUUCAUAGAGUCGUUGAUGCUUAUUGCAUUCAGUGCAUUGCGAGAUAGAAUAUGGAAGCCCAUAAUAGAGAUAAGCUUUGUGAGAAAAUGUAAGAGAAAUAUUAUUGAAUUGUUGUAACUACAUUAUUACAUUGAGACCCUAUAGGAUUCUAUAUGUUAUUCCUAUUUCCGCUCAUAUUCUAACACACCCCCUCAAGCUGGUGCAUAGAAGACAUAUGUAACGAGCUUGUUACGGAUGUAAGUAACACGAGGAUAAGUGAGGAACUUGGUGAAGAUAUCUGCAAGAAAACUGAUAAGGACUGCUCUGGAAACGUCAAUUGAAAAAGAACAAACUAAAAAAGUGAUCUGAAAAGUAGUAAACAUCUCUAGAAAGUCGAUUUGUCACUAGAAAUUUAUCGAAAACUGGUAUAAAAUAUAUGGAUCAUCUUGAAAUCAACAGACGAAUAGAUCUUGAACAAGAAAGUCACCGAAAACUUAGCCAAAACAUGCUUACACGCCUGGUUAUUAGAUUUAAUGGUUGAAAAGUGACUACAAUCUGGAGAAAAAAAAUUGUAUAGGCAGGGUCGGAAUGAUGACACGACCCUACUAAGAAAAAGAAAUAUGGGUAGGGUCGGAAUGACGACAUGACCCUAUUGAGAAAUAGAAAUUAUAUGGGUAGGGUCGGAAUGAUGACACGAUCCUACUGGAAAAGAGAAAUUAUAUGGGCAGGGUCGAAAUAAUGACACGAUCCUACUUAAAAAGAGAAAUUAUAUGGGUAGCGUCAGAGUGACGGAACGACCCUACUGAAAAAGAAAAUUAUAUGGGUAGGGUCGAAAUGAUGGCAUGACCCUACAAAUUAGAUUUGAGGAGUCAUUGGAAAGACGUACAGAACUACGUAAAUUAAAUCUAAGGAGGCACCAAAAAGAUGCACGGUGCUAUGCAACUUAGAUAUGAGAAAGUAGUCUGGAAAGAUGCACGGUGCUAUGUAAAUCAUCAGAUAUGAGAAAAUAGUCACCAAAAUAAAGCAUGGUCUAAGAAAAAUAGAUAUGAAAAACUAGUCACCGGACAGAUGCAUGAUGCUACGCAAAGAUAUGAGAAAAUAGUCACUAGAAAGAUACACAGCGAGUCAAGUGACCUAACUUUUGGUAACAUAAUCAUUGGUCAGACGGACGACAUAUAUGGAUUAUAGCCGCCCGCUGGCAGCAGAAACUCUUUUAUUCUUUACCAAGAUCGAGGAAACUUUGAUACCAUGUGAGAAAAUAUAAGAGAAAAAUAUUAUUGAAUUGUUGUAACUACAUUAUUACAUUGAGACUCUAUUUAUAGAUGCUACAUUCCAAUCAUUUUCCUAAUAGGAUUCUGAGUUACAAUCCUUUUCCUAAUAGGAUACUACGUUACAAUCCUUUUCCAAGUAGGAUUCUAUAUGCUAUUUCUAUUCCCGCUCAUAUUCUACCAAGCUUAUUUUUCAAAGAUUCAUGUUCUAACACAUUAAGGGAGGAGAACCUAUCAUUGAUGGAUAUCAAUAUUCGCUUAACCUUAAAUAAGUUGGCAAAAAAUUUUCCUCCGAGUUUUUUUGAUGUUAUGAAGCAUCUUUCAAUUCAACUUGUGCGAGAGGAACGACUUGGAGAUCCUGUUCAGUGUAGAUGGAUGUAUCUCUUUGAGAGGACUAUUGGCAAAUGUAAGCGGACCAUAAGGAACAGAUCUCGAAUUGAGGGAUCAAUAUGUGAGGCUUAUUUGGCUAAAGAGACCUCUUAUUUUUGUUCAUAUAUUUUUAACAUGAUGUUCUAUGUCUAAGAAAUCGACCUAAUAGGCAUGAUGAUGGAGACAAUACAGAUCUUUCAGCGCUUUGCUAUUUGAAUGAGGUGGAUCUUAAGUCAGCUACAACAAAUGUAUUAUUAAUUGUCUCGGGGUCCUGCCUUUUUAUAAGUGUGUAUAUUUAUAUUAACGACAAUCAUUUAAGGUCUACCUAAGCUUUAACUAAUGAAAGUCAUAACUUUGUCGGACAACUACUUCGUGGCUUUAUACAUGGAUACUAUUGUUUAUCCUAUGUUUUCAGUGUGGUUUAGAGAAUAUGUAAGUGUAAUUUAAAUAUUUAACAUGAUUUAUACUUUUGUUCAGUCUUAUGUAUAUUUAAAUUCUAACUUUUUUUGAACAUUUUAUAGGUUCAUAAUCCACUUAAUUAUGACCUAAAUGGCCAAUUUUUACAUGAUAUAGAUUGGGGACCUGAUGCUACAGUCAGAAAGUUUUCUAAGUACUCUGUUGAUGGGUACAGAUUUCAUACAAAAGAGUUCUCUAAAGGCAAGAAAACCAAUAAUAGUAGGGUUUGGGUGAAAGGUGAUGGGGAUGUUGAUUAUUAUGGUGUGCUUUACGAGAUUUUAGAACUCGAUUAUCAUGUUGGUUGGCCAAAGAAAAAGUUGGGUCUCUUUCGGUGUAAGUGGUAUGAUCUUACGCCUGGGAUAGGUACAAAGGUGCACCCUCAGUACAAAAUAGUUGGAAUUAAGCGUACAAGGGAGUAUGGACUCUAUGAUCUAUUUGUCAUUACAUAAAAUGUAAAACAAGUGUAUUACGCUCCUUAUCCUUUGUGUAAGAAUAAAUUUGCAUGGCGGGUAGUUAUAAAAACAAAGCCCGUGAAUAGAAUUGAAGUAGAGAAUGGAUUGGAUGUAGUGUAUGAGAAUGACAUUCAAGCGUUGAAGAAAGGGUGGAUGAUGAAUUAGCAGGUGAGUUGCAGCAUAGCGAAGGCCUAUAUGAAGAGCGAAGGCCUAUAUGAAGAAUUUGAUCCUUCUGAACUUAGAUUGGAUAUUAAUGAUUAUGGAGAAGGAACACCAGGGGUAAAUGACGAGAAAGAUCCAACUGAUGAAAAUGAAAUAAGUGAGGAAGAGUUACUUGGUGAAAAUGAAAUAAGAGAUGAGGAAGAAUCGAUGAAUGACUACGAAUCAAGCAAUGAGGAAGAAUUAAUGAAUGACUAUGAAACAAGCGAUGAGGAUUGUGUUUUUAUUAAUAGUAGUAGUGUGUAGUAAUAGGGUCUUGAGUUUUAAUUUAGCUGCUGCUUUUUGCUAUUUUACUUGACAAUAUAGUGUCGUUUCUUUGUUAACAUUUCUAGUGCCAGUAAGAACAUUCUGGUUGUUGGAUUAAAUAGCAGUGGUGAAUUUCUAUAGUAUACGUGUGUUGGCUGUUUUAUUCAAUUGGUACUACUUA